CGGCGAGUGAAGCGGCAAAAGCUCAAAUUUGAAAUCCUUCGGGAAUUGUAUUUUGAAGGUGGGUUUGGUUAGGAAAAGUUACUUUAAGUCCAUUGGAAAAUGGCGCCAUGGAGGGUGAUAGCCCCGUAAAAGUAUCCCUUUUCCUUUUAUCCAUUCCCUCCAAAGAGUCGAGUUGUUUGGGAAUGCAGCUCUAAGUGGGUGGUAAAUUCCAUCUAAAGCUAAAUAUUGGCGAGAGACCGAUAGCGAACAAGUACAGUGAUGGAAAGAUGAAAAGCACUUUGAAAAGAGAGUGAAAAAGUACGUGAAAUUGUUGAAAGGGAAGGGCUUGCAAGCAGACACAACCUCGGUUGGGCCAGCAUCGGAGUGGGGGGAGACAAAAAAGAAAAGGAAUGUAACUCAUUCGAGUAUUAUAGCCUUUUUCUCAUAUCUCCACCCCCUUCC
rnacentral:rRNA from 1 species